ensembl:lncRNA
CGGUCUCUGUGACAAAGUUACGACUGCAAACAGUGUCAACGUGAUUGUCCACAAUCUCGGAUGUCUGGUGCUCUCCACCCUUUCUUAAAGCUUGUAUUUACUUCUCCCCCCUCCUUCCCUCUCACAGCAAAGUGCUCGGGCCUCCAGAUAGCAGGCGGUUGACGCAUCUGUGUGGCGGUCCUGCCGCGGCGCAUUGAGGAGCCAUCUUCACAUCCACUCAGAAUGACGCCAGCGGUGCUCGACCCAACCCCUUUAACACGGUUUAUCAAUGGAGUCAAUCACUUCACGUAUCUCACGCUCCAUACACAUUUCCAGCACUAUGACAGACAGUUAUUUAUAGCUCUCCUCUGUGUGUGUGCGUGUGUGUGUGUGUACAGGACGAUUGGGGGAUAUUGAGGUGUGAUGCUCAGGAGCAUUUUAUCUGUUGUCUUUUUGUAUGUAAUAUGAAAGAGCCAUGGGGGUUUCAAAGACAGACUGACUCACAGAACAACAACAAUGAUAGAGCAAACAAACACACAAUACCAUAACAAAAACACAGGACACACAAAAUACAACAACUGACAACACAAUAUCUCAUUAAUUUGCAGUCAUGUGUGUGACCAUCAUUAAAUUGAUUAAUGAUAUUGUCAUGUAACAUAUGCCAAAGCAAAUAGCCCUACUUGCACUAGUGCUUCACUCAAUUAAGAAACACAUGGGCAUUAUUCUGAUCUAGGGCAUGGGUUUGUCUGAGCCUAUUUUGAGGCUAGGGAUAUCUUGAAUGAAGAUGAUUGAGGCCAGCAGCUCCCCGUUUUAGAAAUUGUGUCAUCGCAUGUUUUGGCUGCAAUAGAAAUUAAUCAAUGUAGUCAUUACCAUCAUGACAUACAGAAAAAGCGUUUUCACUGGGACUGUUUUUUUUGUCAUUCUAUCUCUAACUAGCGCCCCCUGUGGCCGUUCAUGGACUACAGAUGUCUGCCCAGAGCCAUACCCAUCGCUUCACUCCACUGGUUCCAGAACCAUGCCCGUCCAUUCCAGAACCAUGCCCGUCCCAUUCCAGAACCAUGCCCGUCCCAUUCCAGAACCAUGCCCGUCCAUUCCAAAACCAUGCCCGUCGCUUCACUCCACUGGUUCCAGAACCAUGCCCGUCCAUUCCAGAACCAUGCCCGUCCCAUUCCAGAACCAUGCCCGUCCCAUUCCAGAACCAUGCCCGUUCCAUUCCAGAACCAUGCCCGUCGCUUCACUCCACUGGUUCCAGAACCAUGCCCGUUCCAUUCCAGAACCAUGCCCGUCGCUUCACUCCACUGGUUCCAGAACCAUGCCCGUCCAUUCCAGAACCAUGCCCGUCCCAUUCCAGAACCAUGCCCGUCCAUUCCAGAACCAUGCCCGUCCCAUUCCAGAACCAUGCCCGUCGCUUCACUCCACUGGUUCCAGAACCAUGCCCGUCCCAUUCCAGAACCAUGCCCGUUCCAUUCCAGAACCAUGCCCGUCCAUUCCAGAACCAUGCCCGUCGCUUCACUCCACUGGUUCCAGAACCAUGCCCGUCCAUUCCAGAACCAUGCCCGUUGCUUCACUCCACUGGUUCCAGAACCAUGCCCGUCCAUUCCAGAACCAUGCCCGUCGCUUCACUCCACUGGUUCCAGAACCAUGCCCGUCCAUUCCAGAACCAUGCCCGUUGCUUCACUCCACUGGUUCCAGAACCAUGCCCGUUCCAUUCCAGAACCAUGCCCGUUCCAUUCCAGAACCAUGCCCGUCGCUUCACUCCACUGGUUCCAGAACCAUGCCCGUCCAUUCCAGAACCAUGCCCGUCCAUUCCAGAACCAUGCCCGUCCAUUCCAAAACCAUGCCCGUUGCUUCACUCCACUGGUUCCAGAACCAUGCCCGUCCAUUCCAGAACCAUUUCUGCUUCCCUCCACUGUCCAAGUGCAAUAUGGAGAUGUUUCAUGAGCUGAAAUAA